rnacentral:rRNA from 1 species
AUUGAACGCUGGCGGCAGGCCUAACACAUGCAAGUCGAACGGUAACAGGAAGAAGCUUGCUUCUUUGCUGACGAGUGGCGGGCGGGUGAGUUAUGUCUGGGAAACUGCCUGAUGGAGGGGGAUAACUACUGGAAACGGUAGCUAAUACCGCAUAACGUCUCAAGACCAAAAAGGGGGACCUUCGGGCCUCUUGCCAUCGGCUGUGCCCAGAUGGGAUUAGCUAGUAGGUGGGGUAACGGCUCACCUAGGCGACGAUCCCUAGCUGGUCUGAGAGGAUGACCAGCCACACUGGAACUGAGACACGGUCCAGACUCCUACGGGAGGCAGCAGUGGGGAAUAUUGCACAAUGGGCGCAAGCCUGAUGCAGCCAUGCCGCGUGUAUGAAGAAGGCCUUCGGGUUGUAAAGUACUUUUAUCGGGGAGGAAGGGAGUAAAGUUAAUACCUUUGCUCAUUGACGGUACCCGAAGAAGAAGCACCGGCUAACUACGUG